rnacentral:tRNA from 1 species
GCCGGGGUAGCUCAGGCGGUAAGAGCGCGUGACUCAUAAUCACGAAGCCGCGGGUUCAAGCCCCGCCCCCGGCA